CCAGAUUAGGAGCCCCAGUAGAAGUACGUGUGCUUGCUGAUUUGAUAUACGGCUGGGAUUGAAUUUAUAUUUAGCUCAGGUAAAUACUCUUAGCUUAUUUUCCCUAUACGGGCUUGGGAUACGGUAUUAUAAUAUUACCGCUUGGUCGGGUAUUGAAUGUUUAAUCGUACUGUACGUAAUUGGCUGGGAGCUCAGGGCGUCAAUAGGGAAUCUUGCAAGUUCUAGAUGCCUAAAGUCUGUUGAACAGUGUUUAUCUUUC
rnacentral:lncRNA from 1 species